rnacentral:rRNA from 1 species
UUAAGAUACUAAGAGCAUACGGGGGAUGCCUUGGCGAUAUCUGCCGAAGAAGGACGUGACAAGCUGCGAAAAGCUGCGGAGAGAUGCAAAUAAUCUGUGACCCGCAGAUAUCCGAAUGGAGCAAUCCGGCUGUGGUUAUGCACAGUCAUCCAUACCAUUGAGUAUGAGAAGGGAACCGGACGAACUGAAACAUCUAAGUAAUCCGAGGAAGAGUAAUCAAGCGAGAUUCCCCCAGUAGCGGCGAGCGAACGGGGCAGAAGCCCAAACCGCGGAAGGAAACUUUUGCGGGGUAGAGGGCCAUCAAUAAAACAAGAACCUUUAGCUGAAUCUGUUGGGAAACAGAGCCGAAGACAGUGAAAGCCUGGUAAGCGAAAGAGGAACUUGCGGAGAUGGUACCGGAGUACUGCGGGACACGAGAAAUCCCGUAGGAAGCAGGGGGGACCACCCUCCAAGGCAAAACACAGAUAUCGACCGAUAGCGAAUAGUACCGUGAGGGAAAGGUGAAAAGCACCCCGGGAGGGGAAUGAAAAAGAACCUGAAACCGUAUGUUUACAAGCAGUCGAAGACCGCUUAAUAAUAAGGUCAACGGCGUGCCUAUUGAAGAAUGAACCGGCGAGUUAUGAGGUCUGGCGAGGUUAAGCAGGAAAUGCGGAGCCGAAGCGAAAGCGAGUCUUAAUAGGGCGAAAGUCGGAUUGCAUAGACCCGAAACCACAGUGAUCUACCCAUGUCCAGGUUGAAACACAGGUAAAAAUGUGUGGAGGACCGAACCUAUAUCCGUUGAAAAGGGUUAGGAUGAGGUGUGGGUAGGGGUGAAAUUCCAAUCGAACGUGGAGAUAGCUGGUUCUCCCCGAAAUAGCUUUAGGGCUAGCCUCAGGGAAGAGAUUACAGGCGGUAGAGCACUGAUCAGGGGCGGGACCUACCCGGUUACCAAACCUAGUCAAACUCCGAAUGGCUGUAAUUAUACCUGGGAGUCAGACUACGACUUAUAAGGGCCGUAGUCAAAAGGGAAACAGCCCAGACCAUCAGCUAAGGUCCCCAAUGCCGUGCUAAGUGGAGAAGGAUGUGGCAUUUCAUAAACAACCAGGAUGUUGGCUCAGAAGCAGCCACCAUUUAAAGAGUGCGUAAUAGCUCACUGGUCGAGAGACGCUGCGCCGAAAAUGUCCGGGGCUCAAGCACGGAACCGAAGCUAUGGCAGACGCAAGUCUGGGUAGGGGAGCGUUCUUAUGAGGAAGAAGCAUGACCGUAAGGACAUGUGGACGAAUAAGAAGUGAGAAUGCCGGUAUGAGUAUCGAAAAGAAAGGUGAGAAUCCUUUCCACCGAAAGCCCGAGGGUUCCUGAGCAACGAUCGUCGACUCAGGGUAAGUCGGGACCUAAGCCGAGGCGAAAAGCAUAGGCGAUGGACAACAGGUUGAAAUUCCUGUACCGGAUAAAGUCGUUACGAGCAAUGGAGUGACGCAGGAGGGUACAUGAUCGCGCGACUGGAAGAGCGCGGCCAAGUGAGUAUGUAGAUACAGAGGCAAAUCCCUGUAUCUGAAAGCAGAGACAUGAUGGGGAGUUAAAGGAAACUUUGACGAACUGAUGGAUCCCACACUGCCAAGAAAAACUUCUAGCCAGACAAUAUCCGCCCGUACCGUAAACCGACACAGGUAGGCGGGGAGAGAAUCCUAAGGUGCGCGGGAAAACCCUCGUUAAGGAACUCGGCAAAUUGCAUCCGUAACUUCGGGAGAAGGAUGACCCUGAGUAAAAGAAGAGCAGAAACGCUUAGAGGAGAAAAGGGUGGCAGAAAAGAGGCCCAAGCAACUGUUUACCAAAAACACAGGUGCCUGCGAAAGCGAAAGCUGAAGUAUAGGUGCUGACGCCUGCCCGGUGCCGGAAGGUUAAGGAGAGAGGUCAGCUAAGGCGAAGCUUCGAACUGAAGCCCCGGUGAACGGCGGCCGUAACUAUAACGGUCCUAAGGUAGCGAAAUUCCUUGUCGGGUAA